AUGAACGCUGGCGGCGUGCUUAACACAUGCAAGUCGAACGGAAAGGCCCAAGCUUGCUUGGGUACUCGAGUGGCGAACGGGUGAGUAACACGUGGGUGAUCUGCCCUGCACUUCGGGAUAAGCCUGGGAAACUGGGUCUAAUACCGGAUAGGACGAUGGUUUGGAUGCCAUUGUGGAAAGUUUUUUCGGUGUGGGAUGAGCUCGCGGCCUAUCAGCUUGUUGGUGGGGUAAUGGCCUACCAAGGCGUCGACGGGUAGCCGGCCUGGGAGGGUGUACGGCCACAUUGGGACGGAGAUACGGCCCAGACUCCUACGGGAGGCAGCAGUGGGGAAUAUUGCACAAUGGGCGCAAGCCUGAUGCAGCGACGCCGCGUGGGGGAUGACGGCCUUCGGGUUGUAAACUCCUUUCGCUAGGGACGAAGCGUUUUUGUGACGGUACCUGGAGAAGAAGCACCGGCUAACUACGUG
rnacentral:rRNA from 1 species